rnacentral:rRNA from 1 species
GGGGCUAAAUAAAGGUGANCUCAACCAUUCGCAGUGCCCUUUGAUACUGACGGGCUGAAUUCCAUAUGAAGCGGGCGGAAUAAAACAAGUAGCGGUGAAAUGCAUAGAUAUGUCUUAGAACUCCGAUUGUGAAGGCAGCUCCCUAAGCUGGUAUUGACGCUGAUGCACGAAAGCGUGGGGAUCGAACAGGAUUAGAUACCCUGGUAGUCCACGCCCUAAACGAUGAUAACUCGAUGUUGGCGAUAGACAGCCAGCGUCCCAGCGAAAGCGUUAAGUUAUCCACCUGGGGAGUACGCCCGCAAGGGUGAAACUCAAAGGAAUUGACGGGGGCCCGCACAAGCGGAGGAGCAUGUGGUUUAAUUCGAUGAUACGCGAGGAACCUUACCCGGGCUUGAAAGUUAGUGGAGGAUGCAGAGACGCAUCCGUCCUUCGGGACACGAAACUAGGUGCUGCAUGGCUGUCGUCAGCUCGUGCCGUGAGGUGUUGGGUUAAGUCCCGCAACGAGCGCAACCCCUAUGUUUAGUUGCCAGCAUGUUAUGGUGGGGACUCUAAACAGACUGCCUGUGCAAACAGUGAGGAAGGUGGGGACGACGUCAAGUCAUCAUGGCCCUUACGUCCGGGGCUACACACGUGCUACAAUGGACGGUACAGCGGGCAGCUAGCUGGCAACAGCAUGCUAAUCUCUAAAAGCCGUUCACAGUUCGGAUCGGGGUCUGCAACUCGACCCCGUGAAGUUGGAUUCGCUAGUAAUCGCGUAUCAGCAAUGACGCGGUGAAUACGUUCCCGGGCCUUGUACACACCGCCCGUCAAGCCAUGAAAGUUGGGGGUACCUAAAGCAGUUACCGGA